rnacentral:misc_RNA from 1 species
GAAACCCUAACCUUGUUAAUAGUUGCCAGACAUAGCCAGGCUUGCUCCUCUAGCUCUUCAACUAGCUUUUGCAACCAAUUUCCACUCCUCCUCAGCUCCUUCACAACCUCCUGCAGUGAAAAUGUAUCCUCCCUCCCCACCCAAAACCUUAUAAUCUCCUUAAUCCUCUCCACCUCCUCAUGCAACCUAUCAACAAACCUACUCAUGGUGUCAAA